UCAGGGUCAGGAAUCAGCGCGGACUGUGCUUGGUGCAGGGAGGGGCUGCUUUCUGCCCCAGCUGGCUGUGAAAAAAUAUAGACAGAGGCGAACCAAAGGCAAUACAAGUUACCGAACUAUGAUUACAUUUGCAAAGCUUAACUGUCCAGUAAGAUCCAACAGUGUGCCUUUGUGACCCCGGAGCCAGUGUGGCUUGGUGACACCGAAGAAGCCGCAGGCAGCUGACCUGGACUGGAAUCUCUGAAAGAGACGCUGCAGAAGAUUCCAGGGUGCAAGAGAACAGCCCUCCAAAGAGCGGAAGUAUGUUAGAAAUUCUGGACAAGCUGUAUACAGGAUAAUCUCCAGUCCACCUCUCCCCCCUUCUCUGAACAUUAUACACAGAAGUGGCCAGUCUGGACGUACGUGUGUGGAUAAUCAGAGAAAACUGAUGCCAGCUGAACAGCAUUCAACGUACCAUGGAUUUACUGGCACAAUAGGAAUUAUGUUUUGUGUUCUAUGUUCUGUCUUGUGGUGUUUGUCUUGUGGCCGGAAUUUUUGUGUUUAAUAUUUUUAUAAAAUAGUCUAGUUUAAACUCAAACAAAAAGGUUAAAUUAAAAUGCAGAUAUUUGUUUUGUUCAACUUGGAAUACAAAGUGUUUGGAUAAAUCAGGAGAAUGUGAUAUACUAAAGUCUAAUGCAUUUCCUCAAGAAAAAGAAAUUUCAUUGGCCAAACUGUUAAUUGCAAAAAUUGUUGUUAACAUUUGCAUACCAACAGUCUUUAAAAGCAAGGACAUAAAAGUUAACCCACUUCCCAUAUUGUAUAUGGGAUCCUUCUGGCUACUUCAGAUUUCUAGCCAGAGGGCUGGGGAUGGUGGGAAGCUGUUGGACUAGAGGUUGAAUUGAAUAAACUCCUCAAAGUGGGUGUGCUUGUCCUGGCUUGUUGCUCCAAAGUUCUGUAAUAAGGUUAUUUUAGUAAAAGGGUGUGUGUAGCAUAUAUUAAAUAAUAAGACUAAUGUACUGUAUAAUGACAAUGUUUAUGUCUUCAUUGUUGGGAAAAAGGUGUAUAAGUAAAAAGUGGAAGUUUCCUUUGCAGGUUAAAAGAAGCCAAGAAAGGAAGAAGGACAAAGAACAGAAUGAGUUAACUGGAAAAAAAGAAUUAGCUAGCAAGCUCAGGCUAUAGAUAAGACACUGACUCCACUCAAGGACACUGCUCACAGUUCAGACUUGGCUAACAACUAGGAAAAGGAGGGCUUGAAUUUGCCCACGCAGCUAUGAGAUCUGAAAAACACUGCCAGGCACUAAUGAAAUGUGUUAAGCUUCUUUUCUCACAGGUAAAGAAGCGCUACCCAAAGACCCUAGCAGCCCUGCCGCUCUUUGGAACCAGGAGACGGGAUUGAUGUAAAGGUCCACCGAUGAAAGUCUGCUCUGGCUCCACCCUGGAAAGGCCCUUAAGUCCCGGUGACUACCAACAUCGCUGUAAAAUAUCAAAGACUGACUGCAUGGACCCAAGAUUCUCACUGCAAAAAGACCCCUCCACAUCGGGAGAAUUCUCCUACUGAUGAUUAGCCUAUUUCACCUUCUAGCUCCACUGUGCCUUCUGGACAGUAGGGAAAAAAUACAAGGAUGCUGCACCACGACUGUUUUGGGAAAGAAGAAGGAACACUCGCUCCACUGAAACGGCCAAAGUCCAGGAAUUCCUGACUAGAAAGGACAUUAAGAACUGACCUUGGUGAAGAAACAAAGAAUUAUACACUGGUGGGAGGACAUUUGUGGGACCCAUGUUUGGGAAUGUGGUAUUGAAUGGAUUUUGGGGUUUAUUCUACAGGCUGCGCCCUGUGUUUUGGAUAAAUCCUUCAGCAUGUAUUGCUCUCUCUAAUUCGAUUUUAAAUAACAAGUACCUAAAGAGUUUGUUCUGCUACUAGAAAUUUUACCCGUAUUGAAACCAUUCCAGUGACUAAUAAUGUAUGCUAUUAAUGGGAAUGCCUUUUGACAGUACCUGAGAAUAGUUAAAUAACAGGUGUAUUAUAGUACUACACCAAGAAAAGAUGGUAUUAAAUAUAACUGAGGCUGGGAAGGCAUUGCAGUGGGAUCUAGUAUGUUUAGGAAUUUGGGAUUUCCUAAAUGACCAGCUGAUGGCCAUUCGGAGUGAUCUUGAGUACCAGACUUGGCCCACUGCCCUUACAGAUGCAUCAGGAAUACCAUCUGAUCUGUGAUCAUGGAGACAUAUGUGGACACUUCCUGGGUGGAAGUGUGGCUUCCCAGGGCUGGGUGUGCGCCCUUAUAGGGGAUGAAUGCUGUACUUAUGUCCCAGAAAGCGCACAGGAUAUUAACAAGCACAUCCUGUCAGCUAAACAGGCUUUUGAACAGUGGAAGGCCCAGGAAAGGAAACCUACUCUUUCUGAUUCCCUCUGGGGCUGGUUACUCAACCUGGGAGAACUAGAGGAAGGUAUUGUUCACCUCCUGCUCACUGGUGUGGUGUUGUGUAUCGUUACUCUUCUCUUGCUUGCUUGCUGUAAAGCACUCCAGCUCCCUAGAGCUUAAACACAUAUUAUCCUUUAAAUGUGAGAACACUCAGCCAAAAGUUUGUUGAGUAUUCUCAAAGGAAGGAGCUGUUGGUGUCACUCUGGCAUAAUCCUAAGUAACUUGGAAAGGGGGUAGACCACAAGUGUCAAUGAAGCCCUCCUGUUGUAGGCCUCAAUGAACCAAUGUUCCUCCAUGUUCAACACUUUGUGUAACCUAGUGUAACCUAAUGUACUAAUAGUUGCAAAAAUGUAAUGUUAGCAGUUAGCUUUUGGUUGUAACAGCCAGUUCUCUGCUGUAAUACAUUGAAGCUAGGCUAAAGCAAGUUUCAAGGCCACUUUUAGAUACAGCAUACAUGUCUCUGCAGUAGAAAGGGGGAGAGGGAGGGGGAAAACAAAGAAAUGUGUGAGAAGAGAAUGCUGCAGCUGGACAGAAGAGGGAGGGGAAACGGGGGAUUGCUAGUCAGUGAGAAAAGUUCUCAUGGAUAUAAAGGAACAGACGGCUUGUUUUAGGUGUGCUUGAUCUGAGUCAAUCUCCCUGCACCGCUUUGAGAUCUCAAAUAAACUUGGUUUGCUUCUCCA